CCCUUAGACGUUCUGGGCCGCACGCGCGCUACACUGACCAGUGCAACAAGCAUCUGUCCUUGGCCGACAGGCUCGGGCAAUCUUUGAACGCUGGUCGUGAUGGGGAUAGACUUUUGCAAUUUUUGGUCUUCAACGAGGAAUUCCUAGUAAACGCAAGUCAUCAACUUGCAUUGAUUACGUCCCUGCCCUUUGUACACACCGCCCGUCGCACCUACCGAUUGAAUGGUCCGGUGAAGCCUCCGGAUUGGCGCGCACCUCGGUGCCGCCGAGAAGUUGGCUAAACCUUACCAUUUAGAGGAAGGUGAAGUCGUAACA
rnacentral:rRNA from 1 species